rnacentral:rRNA from 1 species
AUUGAACGCUGGCGGCAUGCCUUACACAUGCAAGUCGAACGGCAGCGCGGGGCAACCUGGUGGCGAGUGGCGAACGGGUGAGUAAUGCAUCGGAACGUACCUUUCAGUGGGGGAUAACGUAGCGAAAGUUACGCUAAUACCUCAUAUUCUGUGAGCAGGAAAGCAGGGGAUCGCAAGACCUUGCGCUGAUUGAGCGGCCGAUGUCAGAUUAGCUAGUUGGUGAGGUAAAGGCUCACCAAGGCGACGAUCUGUAGCGGGUCUGAGAGGAUGAUCCGCCACACUGGAACUGAGACACGGUCCAGACCCCUACGGGAGGCAGCAGUGGGGAAUUUUGGACAAUGGGGGCAACCCUGAUCCAGCCAUGCCGCGUGAGUGAAGAAGGCCUUCGGGUUGUAAAGCUCUUUCGGCCGGGAAGAAAUCGCACGGGCUAAUACCCUGUGUGGAUGACGGUACCGGAAUAAGAAGCACCGGCUAACUACGUGCCAGCCGCCGCCGUAAAAC